rnacentral:rRNA from 1 species
UACGAAGGGGGCUAGCGUUGCUCGGAAUCACUGGGCGUAAAGGGUGCGUAGGCGGGUUUUUAAGUCAGGGGUGAAAUCCUGGAGCUCAACUCCAGAACUGCCUUUGAUACUGAAGAUCUUGAGUCCGGGAGAGGUGAGUGGAACUGCGAGUGUAGAGGUGAAAUUCGUAGAUAUUCGCAAGAACACCAGUGGCGAAGGCGGCUCACUGGCUCGGUACUGACGCUGAGGCACGAAAGCGUGGGGAGCAAACAGG